CUGGAACGCGCCCCAGGCGCACCCAGAAACCCUUUGUGAACUUAUACCUUACUGUUGCCUCGGCGCAUGCUGGCCCCCCUCGGGGUCCCCUGGAGACAGGGAGCAGGCACGCCGGCGGCCAAGUUAACUCUUGUUUUACACUGAAACUCUGAAGAAAAACACAAAUGAAUCA
rnacentral:misc_RNA from 1 species